UUUCAGUUUAGGCCUUCAAUACAAUAUGGAGGUAUACCGAAUGAAUACAUGUAACCUAUGUGAAGAAUGCAAACACUCACCUUAAGUUUCCACAUGAACCUUGAAGUGGAACGCACACAGUAUGAACAGGGUGUAACCCGUGUGCAAGAUAUG